rnacentral:rRNA from 1 species
CUACGGGAGGCUCCAGUGGGGAAUAUUGCACAAUGGGGGGAACCCUGAUGCAGCAACGCCGCGUGGAGGAUGACGCAUUUCGGUGUGUAAACUCCUUUUAUAGGUCAAGAAAAUGACGGUAGCAUAUGAAUAAGCACCGGCUAACUCCGUGCCAGCAGCCGCGGUAAUACGGAGGGUGCAAGCGUUACUCGGAAUCACUGGGCGUAAAGGACGCGUAGGCGGGUUGGAAAGUCAGGUGUGAAAUCCUACAGCUUAACUGUAGAACUGCACUUGAAACUUCUAAUCUAGAGUAUGGGAGGGGGAGAUGGAAUUAGUGGUGUAGGGGUAAAAUCCGUAGAUAUCACUAGGAAUACCUAAAGCGAAGGCGAUCUCCUGGAACAUUACUGACGCUAAGGCGUGAAAGCGUGGGGAGCAAACAGGAUUAGAUACCCUUGUAGUC